rnacentral:rRNA from 1 species
AUUGAACGCUGGCGGCAGGCCUAACACAUGCAAGUCGAGCGGAUGAAGGGAGCUUGCUCCUGGAUUCAGCGGCGGACGGGUGAGUAAUGCCUAGGAAUCUGCCUGGUAGUGGGGGAUAACGUCCGGAAACGGGCGCUAAUACCGCAUACGUCCUGAGGGAGAAAGUGGGGGAUCUUCGGACCUCACGCUAUCAGAUGAGCCUAGGUCGGAUUAGCUAGUUGGUGGGGUAAAGGCCUACCAAGGCGACGAUCCGUAACUGGUCUGAGAGGAUGAUCAGUCACACCGGAACUGAGACACGGUCCAGACUCCUACGGGAGGCAGCAGUGGGGAAUAUUGGACAAUAGGCGAAAGACUGAUCCAGCCAUGCCGCGUAUGUGAAGAAGGUCUUCGGAUUUUAAAGCACUUUAAGUUGGGAGGAAGGGCAGUAAGUUAAUACCUUGCUGUAUUGACGUUACCAACAGAAUAAGCACCGGCUAACUACGUG